rnacentral:lncRNA from 1 species
AUAACUUAAUAAAAGCCCUAAACGGCUAGCGGAAGAGCCGGCUUCGAAGGCGCAGAGAUUGCCUUAGUUCACUCCAAGAAAAGGGGUUUCUUCAUCUCAUUUUAUUUUCUAGAAAAUGCCAUCUGAAAUGAGGUCCACAUCCAGCAGAGGCAGGCUUGGGGACUUGAAGAGGUGGAUUCGAAUCCUGCUCUGGUUUUAUUAGCCGGAGGACCUGAUGUGGCUUCCUGCAGUUAGAGCUGAAGCCGUUCGUCUGUUUUCCUCCCGUGUUUAUCCUUUUGAAAGAACCCCCAUUUUCAUCUAGGAUCCACCUGCCCUCCUGGGUCUAGAGUGAGAUCCUGAUUGCUUCAAGUCAGUAAUGAUGCUCCCCACCCUUGCCUCGGGGGCCAUAUGAUACAACUCUAGUCAGAGCUUUGAGUGGAAAUAGUUCUAGGAGUUUCUAGGAAUAAUCUCCCCCCAUUUAAGAAAGAGUCCCAUGGAAGGUAAGUCUUUUUCCUUUCUUCUCUCCAGCAUUGUAUUGGGCUUUUAUGUAUAACUUUGCUAUGGUUCUUUUAUAGCCAAGAGGUAAGUCUGCCCGAAGAAGCUAACAUGCUGAAGUUGUCAAGAAGGAAGGAAAAGAGGGGGAGGACGUUGUUGAUACUGGUGAGCUGCUGCCCCGGAAACCACCCCUUACUAUGUAAGCUGGAAGAGCAGAUGGACCAGGGACAGUCUACCCAGUUAGUGCAUGGGGAUAAGGAUUACGUGGAUAGCAUAGGUCUGUACUUGAUAGUAACUUAAUCUCCUCUUUCUCCCCAGAAAGAACAGGAUAGCCACAGGACUUGGUGAACCCUAAACUUCUAUGCCUGGGAACCCCAAGAACCCCAGGAGAGAAACAAGUAUGGAAAAAAGAAUGGAAAAAGUUUUCUAAAGGUGAAAGAGGGUUGUGGGUGGAGCUGGGCUGGUGGGUGGGGCUGGGCUGGCACACUUGAAGCCCUGGGUUCCAUCUCCAGGGACGGGUGCACACAGCAACUCCAGCACUGUGGAGGGGAGGCAAGAGGAUCCUAAGUUCAAGUCCAUACAUAAUGAGUUUGAGGCUCCCUGUGCAGGAUCCCUAAUUAUAUUCACUCAACUGAGAAGCACCACUGAAUGCCUCCUCUAGAGCCUGGAGACAUGCCUCACUCGGCUCCCAGGAGUGGAGAAGACAGGCCCAGGGGAACCAUGGGACUAGUGUGUUCCACUCUAGGUGCCAGAUGGGAACCGGAGGAACUUGUGUGGAAUGAGGCUGAUUUUGAAGCUGAACACAGGGAAGUGGAAGGGUUCCUAGCAAAAGGGACAUUUGAAUAGGACUUUGAAACGCCUACAUUGUCAUUACCCCAAAGCACUUAUGUGUGAAAAUAGGGAGGUUUGGGGAAACAGGGUAGGGGGUGAGACAGUAGUGAUGAUGUCUGAACAUUAGGACAUACUCAAGGAAGAGAAACAAGGGAGUGGCAGAGAUGUGGAUGGGCCAGAGUGUUAGGGCCUUGGGCU